rnacentral:rRNA from 1 species
UACGUAGGAGGCAAGCGUUGUCCGGAAUCAUUGGGCGUAAAGAGCUCGUAGGCGGCUUGUCGCGUCGGCUGUGAAAACCUGGGGCUCAACCCCGGGCCUGCAGCCGAUACGGGCAAGCUAGAAUUCGGUAGGGGAGACUGGAAUUCCUGGUGUAGCGGUGAAAUGCGCAGAUAUCAGGAGGAACACCGGUGGCGAAGGCGGGUCUCUGGGCCGAAAUUGACGCUGAGGAGCGAAAGCGUGGGGAGCGAACAGG